CUCCCAUGACAUUUCCCAUCAUCUCAGAUUCUGCCCGGCUGAGGACAAGCAGUCAGAGUAUUCCAAGACUGAACCCUUUACAUCCACCACUGGUCCAUAAACGCACCGUCAGCCUGGAGACACCAGUUGUUCACCACCAUAACCACCAGAGGACACUGAUCUUGCAGAGAAGGGAACACUACAGGUAUCAUCAAGUGUGGCGAAAACCCUUUUAUGGAAGCAGCAGUGAAAGAGAAGAAUACAGGAAAGAGCUGAGAGAUCAAUUAAAGAGGCAGAUAGAGGAGAAAUGUGUAUCACUGAAGUUGCAGCUGGCCAGUAAAGUGAAGGAAGCAGAGUUUGUACGUGAAGUGGACCGCCUCGCCCUGUCCAGUGAAAGAGAACAAAGG